CCUCACAGCCACACCCUCCUGAAUGCAUCUGACCUUGGAAGCUAAGCAGGGUCAGGCCUGGUUAGUACUUGGAUGGGAGACGGACUGGGAAUAGGUGGUGCUGUAUGCU
rnacentral:rRNA from 1 species